UAGGGAAUCUUCGGCAAUGGGGGGCAACCCUGACCGAGCAACGCCGCGUGAGUGAAGAAGGUUUUCGGAUCGUAAAGCUCUGUUGUAAGAGAAGAACGUGUGUGAGAGUGGAAAGUUCACACAGUGACGGUAACUUACCAGAAAGGGCGCUAACUACGUGCUAG
rnacentral:rRNA from 1 species